GCCGGGGGCAGUGACUCACACCUGUAAUCUCAGCAACUCGGGAGGCUGAGGCAGGAGGAUCUCAAGUUCAAAGCCAGCCUAAGUAACUUAUUGAGGCCCUGAACAACUCAGAGAGACCCUGUUUCUA
rnacentral:sRNA from 1 species